rnacentral:lncRNA from 1 species
UUCCUUUGAAGUAAAGAAAAAGCGAUCGUCGUGUCGUGAUGAAGAAUCUAAUGAUUCCUUGUCCUCAUCUCCGAAAAUAAAGAAAAUAUUGAUCUCUAAAUGUAAACCAGCGAAACUAAACCAAAUGAUAAAGAACUCCAGUAUAUCACAUGAAAACUCUAUGAAAAGUAUAAACGAAGAUAAAAUGAAUAAAAAAGAUGUGAUACUAAAUCCAAAUUAUAAGUAUUGUCCUACAUGUGGCUGUGCAGGUA